rnacentral:lncRNA from 1 species
AUGAGAUCUUCUUUUACUUCCAAGGAAAUCAGGAACAGGCCAUUGCACUGCACGUUACAAUGGCCACUAGGAAAUGUCAAUCACAUUCCUCACCAUGGAAUACGUGGCACAGGAUGUCUGAUGAGCAGACUAUUUUCUAGAUCAUUCUCUAGUUGA